AUUGAACGCUGGCGGCAGGCCUAACACAUGCAAGUCGAGCGGAUGAAGGGAGCUUGCUCCUGGAUUCAGCGGCGGACGGGUGAGUAAUGCCUAGGAAUCUGCCUGGUAGUGGGGGAUAACGUCCGGAAACGGGCGCUAAUACCGCAUACGUCCUGAGGGAGAAAGUGGGGGAUCUUCGGACCUCACGCUAUCAGAUGAGCCUAGGUCGGAUUAGCUAGUUGGUGGGGUAAAGGCCUACCAAGGCGACGAUCCGUAACUGGUCUGAGAGGAUGAUCAGUCACACUGGAACUGAGACACGGUCCAGACUCCUACGGGAGGCAGCAGUGGGGAAUAUUGGACGAUGGGCGAAAGCCUGAUCCAGCCAUGCCGCGUGUGUGAAGAAGGUCUUCGGAUUGUAAAGCACUUUAAGUUGGGAGGAAGGGCAGUAAGUUAAUACCUUGCUGUUUUGACGUUACCAACAGAAUAAGCACCGGCUAACUUCG
rnacentral:rRNA from 1 species